CAGUCCUCAGCGCCCUCGGCCACCCCUGAACCCAGCGCUCCGUCCUCGUCGCCGACCAAGUCUGGCUGCGGCAGGGGCCAGAGCGAGGACAACAACUCUGACCUCGCAGGGAUGGUGAAAGGAAAAGAUGAAAUGAGCACUUGACAGCCAUGCCCGGCAGAAGAAGACCCGCAUCUCACUGUGGCCUCACUGCCCUGGCCCGCCCCAUCCUGCCCAUGUGACCUCUCCUCGGGAUUGUCCUGACCUAGCCUGUCAUUUUCCUGAUCCAGUGAUCCUAUCAGAACACUGAGCUGCAGUGUUCUGCUCCUGGCCCUGCUAAGUCACUUCUCUGUUCCUCAGAGCCUCUGUUUUCUGAUCAAACAGGGGACACGGGUUCGAGCCCUGGUCUGGGAAGAUCCCACAUGCCGCGGAGCAACUAAGCCCUUGCGCCACAACUACUGAGCCUGCGCUCUAGAGCCCCCGAGCCACAACUACUGAGACCGCAUGCCAUAAUGACUGAAGCCUGUGUGCCUAGAGCCCACAACAAAGAGAAGCCACCGCAAUGAGACGCCCGUGCACCGCAACGAAGAGUAGCCCCCGCUCGCCGCAACUAGAGAGAAAGCCCGUGUGCAGCAACGAAGACCCAA